CAGGUAUGUCCCCGUCUUACCAUAGAGAUGCUGUUCCUCUGCUUGUCCAGGUAUGUCCCCGUCUUACCAUAGAGAUGCUCGUCCAGGUAUGUCCUCCGUCUUACCAUAGAGAUGCUGUUCCUCUGCUUGUCCAGGUAUGUCCCCGUCUUACCAUAGAGAUGCUCGUCCAGGUAUGUCCUCCGUCUUACCAUAGAGAUGCUGUUCCUCUGCUCGUCCAGGUAUGUCCCCCGUCUUACCAUAGAGAUGCUGU